UCGAAGAAACAGGGGUGCCGUGCCCACGCUGCAUGGCUGAGAGAGACCCUUUGCACCCGAUCCGGUUCAUACCGGCGUGGGAAGUUUCGAACGGUGCCGG
rnacentral:ncRNA from 2 species